UACAGGGGGUGCAAACGUUGCUCGGAAUUAUUGGGCGUAAAGCGCACGUAGGCGGUUCGUUAAGUCGGAUGUGAAAGCCCUCGGCUCAACUGAGGAAGUGCACCCGAAACUGGCGAGCUUGAGUACGAAAGAGGAUCGCGGAAUUCCCGGUGUAGAGGUGAAAUUCGUAGAUAUCGGGAGGAACACCGGUGGCGAAGGCGGCGAUCUGGGUCGAUACUGACGCUGAGGUGCGAAAGCGUGGGGAGCAAACAGG
rnacentral:rRNA from 1 species